rfam:Felis catus isolate Cinnamon breed Abyssinian chromosome B4, whole genome shotgun sequence.
ACCUGGCUGGCUCAGUUGGUAGAGCAUGUGACUCUUGAUCUCAGGGUUGUGAGUUCGAGCCCCGCAUUGGGUG